AGACAAGAUGGUAUAGUGGUUUGAAUUUUGGACUACAGCUCUAGCGACCAGGGUUCAAUUCCCUGCUUGGCUA
rnacentral:tRNA from 1 species